rnacentral:tRNA from 2 species
GGCGUUAUAGCAUAAUUGGUAUUGCAAUAGUUUGCAAAACUAUUAAGUAUAGGUUCAACUCCUAUUAACGCAU